GUUAACGAAUACGUAUAUAUGAUCGAGAUUUUGCCAGGUAUCGGCACCUGCUAUCCGAGCUGCACAGCACUGUUUUUCCUGCGAUUGCAAAAAGGCCUCCGUCGGUGAACCAGCGUCAGUACGGACCAGAGCUCCAGACACCAUGCCUAACCCUGACGAUAAAGACAAAGGGUCAGGACAGGAGAAAGAGAAGGACAAGGGUACCGACACAAACCCUACAGAUCCCAAACCGGAUCCACCGAGGGACAGGAACCCGAUGUAGCGCUCCUGCUCCUACACGUCAAGUUCCAUGCAUCUCGUAAUAACUGGUAUCAUCUAAGUGGCCUGGCUGAUAAUCAAGGAUGAGACACACAACGUGACCAUUAUGUAGUCAAGAUGCCAUAACGAGAACUGUCAGAGCAAACUUACAGCAUAUACAUGUAUCUACGUUAGAUCAGCGGUGGUCAAACCAACAUCUGUGUUAUUUCUUAACUCGCUACAUGAGAACACAACACCAGCCUUAAAAAAUAACGUUAUACAUAGUAUAAAAAACUCUAGACUCUAGACUGUUUGUAACAGGAUCAGGAUGGUCACCCUUCACUAGUAACAUCAUUAUAAAUGUAGCAACUUUUAUGAUGCUAGAAUAAAGACAUGGACUUCCUUCUG